rnacentral:rRNA from 1 species
UGGGGAAUAUUGGACAAUGGGGGCAACCCUGAUCCAGCAAUGCCGCGUGAGUGAAGAAGGCCUUAGGGUUGUAAAGCUCUUUCGCUCGUGACGAUGAUGACGGUAACGAGAGAAGAAGCCCCGGCUAAUUCCGUGCCAGCAGCCGCGGUAAUACGGAAGGGGCUAGCGUUGUUCGGAUUUACUGGGCGUAAAGCGCAUGUAGGCGGCGGAUCAAGUGAGGCGUGAAAGGCCUGGGCUCAACCUGGGAACGGCGCUUCAGACUGAUUGGCUCGAGUUCGGGAGAGGGUGGUGGAAUUUCCAGUGUAGAGGUGAAAUUCGUAGAUAUUGGAAGGAACACCGGUGGCGAAGGCGGCCACCUGGCCCGAGACUGACGCUCAAGUGCGAAAGCGUGGGGAGCAAACA